rnacentral:rRNA from 1 species
UACGAAGGGGGCUAGCGUUGCUCGGAAUCACUGGGCGUAAAGGGUGCGUAGGCGGGUCUUUAAGUCGGAGGUGAAAUCCUGGAGCUCAACUCCAGAACUGCCCUUCGAUACUGAGAGUCUUCGAGUUCGGGAGAGGUGAGUGGAACUGCGAGUGUAGAGGUGAAAUUCGUAGAUAUUCGCAAGAACACCAGUGGCGAAGGCGGCUCACUGGCCCGAUACUGACGCUGAGGUGCGAAAGCGUGGGGAGCAAACAGG